GCUCUCAUCCCAUCCAAACAAAUUUGCAGCUUUGGUGAGUGCAUGGCUCCACCUGGACAUUCCAUGCUCAAGUUCUUGUCCUGAAAAUGUUUGUUGAGCAGUUGCCUUCAAGGCUUUUCCAAAGUCACCCUUCUGAAAACGUACAUCAGAUGGCUGGAUUUCAUAAUAUACAGGCAGAACAUGUCGGCAAUAAGUUUCGUGCCAGUCGAUGAUUUGUUGAAGCUGAUGAAGACACCAAGCAGAUUGAGAAUAGGUUUGGGUGAAAACAACAAUUGUUACACGACAGUGGCUGAGAAUAGGUUCUUGGAUGUGUGUUGACUUCACUGCAUUGGGGUAAAGAAGGAAAGUGGUGAGAGGAACAGUAGAGAGGGCAGAAUUGGUUACUCUAUAUAUCUUGGCUCUUCACUUAUUUCAUGGAAAUCGAAGAAAUAAGCCACUGUAUCCAAAAGUUCCUCAGAAGUUGAAUACAGAGCUCUUGCCACAGCUACUUACGAAAUUCAAUGGUUAACUUUUCUUCUACAGGAUCUUCACGUAACUUUUCAACAACCAGCAGUCUUAGUCUGUGAUAACAAUUAUGCCCUUCAUAUUGCUGCAAAUCCAGUUUUUCAUGAAUGCACGAAACAUUGAAAUAUAUUGUCAUAUUGUAAGGGAAAAGCUUUCUCCUGGCUUACUUAAACUACGUACUAUCGAUUCCUUCUGCAUGCCAGUUAGCUGAUAUCUACACCAAAGGACUUUCACCAGCAGCUUUCAAAUUUCUGGUUUCCAAGUGGGAAUGAUUGACAUUCAUUCUCCAGCUUGAGGGGGCUGUUAGGAUUCAAUAUAUGUUAGGAUUUAAUAUCUUGUUAGGAUUUAAUAUAUGUUAAGAUUUAAUAUCUUGUUAGGUUUUAAGAUCUUGUUUGUUAUUAUUUUUGUUUGUUAUUAUUCUGUAUAUAUUAUUGAUAGAUUAGAUAGAGUUAUAACUAAUUUUGUUAUAAUCUUGAUGUAUAAAUAUUUACAUCUGCAUGUUGAGAUAAUACACUGACUAUUGUUUUACCUCCUUGUUUUUCCAUUAUAUAUUGCAAUUUCUAUACUUGGUGGUUUGAAUGAUGAUUCUCAUUAUUUAAGACCUGCUGCAAAAUUCCUGAUUUUGUAAUAGUAGCAAAAUAUUCAACCAAAAUAUUUUUCACUUGCUUAGACAAUUGAAAAUCGAUGUCACAUGCUACCAAAACACUUCUUUCUUUAGGCUUUAAUUAGCUUGUGUGGAUUGAAAAGCUAUGACAUUAGGCUUUAAUUUCAUGCAUCCCACAAUUUCUUUCUUUCUUCGUGCAUCCCUACAAACUUUUAAAACAACCAUUUUAUCCUCUGGAAAUGACUUCCAAAGUAUAUAUUUCAAAAGUUUUCCCAAACAAAGAUUGUGGAGUUUUCGAAAUAAUAUUUCUGAAAUAAAAUUUUCUGAACAGAAUUUUUGAAAUGAAAUUUUAAAAUGUGAUUUUCCAAACAGAAUUUUCAGAAUGUGUUUUGAAAUAUAUAAUUCCAAAUGAGAUUUUUUAAAAGGAUUUUGUAAAACUCAUAAUAUCUUCCGGAACACUUACAUGAAAUGUAUUAUGAAAAGAUUUGUUCGAAAUAAGUGAGAUACAUCUUUUGAAAAUAAUUUUUUUUUUUCUGCAUUUUUUUCUCUUCUUUUUCUUUUGUAGUGUUUUCUUCCUUCUUCCUCUGCAGCAUUGUGACUGUAACAAUGAAUAUAAUGUAGGGCAUUAAUAGAAGAUGGUUAAGUCUUUUCCUCAUGUUAUGGGGUGCAGUUAAUAAUUCUGGGAGUACGGGAAAUAAUAUGAAAUUAACAUAAGCUUUGUUCCGUAUAUCACUGUCGACCACUUUUCACACCUCUAUAAUACAGAGAGAUCAUUCUUUGCCCAUGAUUUGAUGGGUGCCAAUUUUGAAAAAGAAAAGAAAAGAUAAGAAAAGGAAAAUCAUCGAUGAUCCUUAAUAAGUGUUUUUAUGCUAUCAUUUUAUUGCAUUUUCAAAAUCUUUUUGACUUUAAUAUUUUAAAACAUAUCAAUAAUUUUUUAAAAGCACACUAAAGAAACAAUAGCACAAGUUUAAAAAAAAAAACUUGGACUAAAAAAAUACGUCUUCAUAUGCAUUUAUCAUAAAAUCACACUUGAAAUAUAUAGUUUUUUUUAAGUGUUUUGAGAGUUUGAUGUUAUUAAUCUAUAUUCUUAUUUUUAAAGAAAAUUGUUACCUUAUUUGUUUAAAGAAAAUUACAUUAUUUUUAAUUUUUUGUUGUUAUUUACCAUAUCUGAAACACUUAAUGAAAUUUUUUAUGAUUCUACUGAAUUCUUGACUUAAUUUCUUUUAAGAGUGAAUGAAUUAUUCUUAUUCAAAUAAAAAUGUCAAUAUUUUGUGUCAAAAUGUUGUCACAUAUAUUUCUUAACAGCUGCCUUUAUUUCAUAAAGAAUAUCCUUUUUUUCUUUAAGAGAAAUUCUUGAUGAGGUAUUAUAUGCUCAAAGGGAAAAGAAUUCACAAAUGUAACCAUAAGAUAAUUCAAGUGAAGCCAAGGCAACACAACGCCAGGAGUGAGAAGCAUGACUUAAACAAACAUGAAUUUUUUAACUGUACGUUAUACUUUAAGGAAAAAGAGGAAAGGAUGCGAAAAUAUAAAUAGUAAUCAAGAACAAUAGGAUUAUUUAUUUCCAUCACUAAAUGAUAACGCUGUUCUCAAAAAACAUAAAUGACUUAUCAGAACUCACAUUACAACUUUCUUUAUGAAUCUAAUGAGAGAAUGUUUUUUUGUCUCAGACGCUUUUUCCAUGUUCUCUGAUUCACCCCGUAUCAGAUACACCGUUGUGUUCUUGACCACCAAUCCAUUACCAAAGUUCACAAAUAUCUCCACAUUGUCUCCACAUUCUAAAUUUGACAUUAUGCCAUGCCAAUCUCCAUCUUUAAAAGAAAUUGUUGUGCCAUGGUUGUGUAUAUGGAAUGUGCACUUUGUGUAAUUAACAAUUACGACAGUAGUAAAUUGAGGUUCAAUGAUCUUAGGAGUUGAUAAAUAAACAACACAAAAAAUCAUUCCUUUCAAAUCACCAUCUUCAGGCACAACGAAAGAAACAGAGUGUCCCUCACCCAUAUGGGCCAUACAAUAAGGAUCAUUCACAGCUGGGAGACAAACAUCACCAGACUCACUGCUUGACAAUACCUGCACCAUAAUAUAAAAGGUUUGGUCAUUUCUCUAAUUUUUCUAUUCAAAUUGUCUUCUAUAAUCACUAUUUUAACAUUAAUAAUUACAAAGUGAGCACUUAUAAUCAAACAAACAACAAUUCAGUACAUAAUCAAAACAUACCGAUGGUAAUUAAUCUAAACAAAUCUAAUUGAUAGUUUUGUUCUACAUGUAUCAUCAUUAAGUCGUUACUGAUUUACAAUGCAUUUGUGUUUUUGUCUCUAUUAGAAUAUUUCUACGACGAUUGGAAAUAUAACCAUAGUGAAGGCAGUAAAAUAAAGUAAGAAAGUACUGAAAUAAAAGCAAAAUUACUUGAUUAGUUGAUUACCAAAAUAAGAAACCUCUAGAUGUGGUUCUAUGAGAAUAGAAAUUAAGCAUGCUAAAGUUGAUUAUUGUAGUUUCAGUUAGAUAUUUUAUUAGGAUUAUUCUAUGUUCUCUAGAUUAAAAGCUAAAAUGAUAUGAAGGUAAGAAACAGACAAAGAUAGAGAAGAACCUGAUAUAUGUUAUCGCUGACAGCAUUAAAGAAUUGAUGGUAUGCUCCAACACCAAUCAAAGAAUACCUGAAGUGCUGCUUUGAAAUUCCUGAUUCUGUAAUAUUCGCAAAAUAUUCAACCAAAAUAUUUUUCACUUGCUUAGAUAACUGAAAUUCGGUGUCACAUGCUACCAAAACACUUCGAAUAUUUGCAAGGGUGCUAAGCAACGGUGCAAUAUCAAUCGUAUUAUCCUCAGUAUCCAUGCAAAACGAAUGAAUAUAAGAGAUGGGAUUCAUUAUUGGAGACAUCCAAGACCGAAUGAUAGAUGGAAAAAGAUUAUGAGAUAAUCCUUCAAAUCCACGUAGGGAUAUAUAUCCAAUGCUUUUUGAGAUUACAAUUGAAAAAGGCACAUGUUUGACAGCUGUAUUUUCAGCAAUUAGAGUUAUCAAGGAUUCCAACUUUGCUAUAUCUUUAUCCAUUAUGUCAAUCUUGGAACAACCAGAGAGAAUGAAAGUUCUUAAUGAUUUCAAGUCAUAUAUCUCUAUUGGAAGAUAGUUUAGACUUGUACAGUCUUUCAAAUUUAGGAGUAUAAGACUGUUGAGUGAUCCAAUAGAUCGGUGUACUUCGCGCAAUCUUGAACAAUAUUUGAAAAUGAGGUGUUCAAGACUUGGUAAUCCGGUAAAGUCAGGGGUUGUAGUUAAAUGCUCGUAGUGACUGAGGUUAAGGACUUUUAGUGCUCUCAAAACCUGUACCAAGAUAGUUUUUCAUUUUAGAAGUAUUAGAGUAGUAAUAAAAAAUGAAAUAAUAGGAAGCUAGUAAUUUAUUUUAAUUAAGUUGUAUUUUAACGAGAAGUGGAUCGUAAUAAAACCUGGGGUGUUUUCCAGAGAAAUCGAAGAAGACUGCGUUUUAAAUCAAUAGCUGUUGCAUCAUCCUCAUAAAUGUUGUUAGGCAGAUAUUCUGAAGAAAGCCCAUGCGAACUGAUCCAUCUUAUUUUAUUAAGAAGGUCAUAAGAAAUUGCAGUCGGUUGUAGACUUUCGAUGGCAGUGAGCAGUUUCACAGGCAACCACUGCAGGGCUUCUGUCCCCUGUGAAGAAAAAUCAAAAUAAAAACAAUUGUAAUGCACAGGAGCAAGAAAACGCUUUCAAAAGAAGUUUCAAACCACAUGUAAAGAAUGUUCUUACAUAUUUUGUAUCCUUAUCAAACCACAGUCGUCUGUUCUUCCCAAGAUCCUUUCCUGAAUUUUCAUGAAUAAUUUUCAUUCCGAUGUUUUGUAGCAAAUGAUGCAUUCCAAAUUUGUUGUUCUUGUUAAUUUUGAUGAGGUUACGCUGGAUGAGAACUCUUAUUCCAAUAUCAGCGUCUACUCCACAGCCAUUUAGGAUCUUCCUAACAUAGGCUCUGCUCUUACCAACAAAGAAAAAACAUAUAUCAAGGAAUAUAUCUUUUUCCAUUUCAUUCAGUGAACCUUCGAUGCUUAUUUUUAUUAUCUUUGGAACACAACGCAUGCCAUAUAUCGCAAACAAUAAAUUGUUCCAUUCUUCUUUGGUCUUUUCAAAUAAAGCACUUCCAACGACUUCAAGAGCUAGUGGUAGUCCUGCACAAUAUCUAACUACACUUCUUGCAAGGUCUUUGUAUUCUUCUUUUGGUUUUGGUUCUUUAAAUGCGUGCCAACUAAGAAGCUCAAGGGAGUCCUCUGCGUUCAUUCGCUUUACCCAAAAGACAGAAUCACCUCCUCUCAGCGGUUCUAUAUAUGUUGAUGUAAGGAUUAUAACAGUUCCUUCAACGGACCAUUUACGAAAAUCCCAUAUGUCGAAUAAACUAAAGUUGGAAACAUCGUCAAGUACAAUGAGCAUCCUUUUCCCAGAAAGCUUUUCCCGAAUUAUAGUUCUUCCCACAUCAAUGCUAGGAAUCUCCACCUUUUGUUUUAGGACAUCUAAAAGAAGUUGUUCUAGUAAACGAAGAUGCCCUCUUAUUCCGCUAACUUGUGAAAUAUUUUCAAUGAAACUUUUCUCCUUGAAUGUCCAAUGAAUUUGAUUGUAGAUCGCUUUGGCAAUAGUGGUUUUACCAGAUCCUUCCUCUCCACCUAUUCCUAUGAUACAAACUUCCGAUUGUUUAUUUUUGAUAGUUUGAAUCAGAUCUUCCACGUAUGAUUGUAAUCUAACUGGAAAUUUAGUAGCAGACAAGAUUGGUAAAUUAACAACGCUCUUAACAAUUUUCUCCACUAANUCAGCAUCACUCCUUCAAGUUCAAGAGCAAUAAUAGAAGAAAUCAUGUAUUAAGAAAAUGAAAUCGGAGGCUUAAAAGAUGGUUGAUUGAGUGAAUGAUGUACCUGUGAUUGCUCUCAUCCCAUCCAAAGAAAUUUGCAGCUUUGGUGAGUGCAUGGCUCCACCUGGACAUUCCAUGCACCAAUUCUUCUCCUGAAAAUGUUUGUUGAGCAGUUGCCUUCAAGGCUUUUCCAAAGUCACCCUUUUGAAGACGUACAUCAGAUGGCUGGAUUUCAUAAUAUACGGGAAGAACAUGUCGGCAAUAAGUUUCGUGCCAUUUGAUGAUUUGUUGAAGUUGAUGAAGACACCAAGCAGAUUGAGAAUAGGUUUGGGUGAAAACAACAAUUGCUACUCGACAGUUGCUGAGAAUAGGUUGUUGGAUGUGAGUAGACUUCACUGCAUUGGGGUGAUGAAGGAAAGUGGUGAGACCAAUAGUAGAGAAGGCAGAAUUGAGAUGAGAAACAAAUUUUCUGUGGAUGUCUUCUCCAGUGAAGUUGAUCAGCACAUCGUACUUCCAUGGGAGUUUGUAUGAUGAGGAGGCGAUAUCCAUGGAAAGGAAAAGUUAGAAGAGAAACCAAGUGCAAGACAGUGAAGGAGAUAAAUGUAUCUUAUAACAAUUAUGUAGUUUUAAUCUUUUAUUCAUAAAUGUUAAAU
rnacentral:lncRNA from 1 species